GCCAGUUGAUCUAUCAAGUUGAGCCAUAGAUUGUCAAGCAUUGUAUGAAUUAUUUUUUCAAUUUAAUAGUUCAUAUUUUGGGAUAGACACCUCUUUUGGUUAUAAAUUAAUUCCAUGUGUUGGGCUUGCUAUGUUUUGUAUAUAUAUUAUGCAUUUUUGGUACUGUGGUUUAGAAAUUGUUGCAAAAGUCGAAUUGCUAGUGUUGUAUUUGAAUAGUUGAUAUUUUGAGGGGCCGGUGUACCCUAUUUCAAACUAUAUGUACAUAUUUGGGAUAUUUGAUUUUAUUUUCAUGUGGUUUUAGAACAUUUUUCAGAGGGAACUCUUCCGAAAUUUUUAUAAAAUUAUAACAGUCAAAGCAUGUCAAGUUUGCUUUGGUGGUGGGUUCAACACUUCGCUGGUAUCUACCAUCGACGCACGAUACAUGUCGGAUCCAUUAGGUGAUCGGGAUGGGUCGUGUCAGAGAGCAAGGUAACUUCGAACAAAUGUCAACAAUUAAAACUUGCAUCAUUACUGAAUUCCUUGGUCAUAAGUUCAUUUUGUAUAUGAUUGCGGUUUUCAACAAGGUAUGGAUUUUCAUUAUGAGGUAUAUAAAGGCCUUUUGUAUUUUCUGUCAGGUGAAAACUGAGUUCGAUAAGGUGGUUGGUCUGAGAGACGAAGCUUUGAAUCUUCAUUUUGUCUUCGAAAAAGAAAGGCAUUUCAUGCUGAAGAAAAUAGAGCAACGGAAGAGUGUCUAAUCAAAGCAGAAACAGAGAUAGAGCCCAAAGCUAAGGUUGAAGAAGAGUUCAAACACAAGCUUCAAGUGAUGAAGACCUGAGAGAAGGUUUCGGCACGUGCUGAAAAUGAGAAAAAAGCUGCUAAAGAGCAAGCUCGUGUCGAAGAUGAGAAGAAGAGGUUAGAAGAAGAGUGAGCUUGCACUAAUAAAUAAAAAGAGUCUAAAAGGGCUGAUAAGGAGUGGGAUUAUGCUAAUGAAUUGAGGCUGAAGUAGAUUGGAAGAGUUCACCUGCUUAUGAUCCAUUAGCCCAGGUGCCUACGUGGUGGGCCUGGCUAAAGUGAUGAGACAUAUUGAGCCUAAGAGGCUAAAGUUUGGUGUUGGCUUCUUGUAUAAAGCUUUGGACGAACAAAGAGCCUCACUUGUCGAGAUUAAUGCUGUUGUUGGAAUUGUUCCAGCUCCUUCAUAGAAUUAGCCACUUACCAUAUAGGAUUUUUAGGUUGUUUUUACAUUCUUUUUGUUGAAUGUUGAAAUACGUUUCUCCAACUCAUGUAAUCCUCCUCUAAUGGAUAAUGGAUAUCACGAUGUUUAUUGUUGUUAUUUUUGUAUCUUACGCUAUGUGUAGAAGUAUUUACCAAUGUUUUUAAAAUUGUAC
rnacentral:lncRNA from 1 species